UGGAACCGCCGGAGAGAUGGCGCAACUAGAGGCAGGGAGAGGCAUGUGGAAUGGCUGGUGUAGGAGUAAAAUCCGUUAAUCUCAGCCAGAACACCAAAUGCGAAGGCAGCAUGCUGGAACUGUCCUGACACUCAGGGACGAAAGCGUGGGGAGCGAAUGGGAUUAGAUACCCCAGUAGUCCACGCCGUAAACGAUGGGUACUAGCCAUUGGGAGCUCGACCCUCCCAGUGGCGCCUUAAAACAAGCAAACGCGUUAAGUACCCCGCCUGGGGAGUACGGCCGCAAGGCUAAAACUCAAAGGAAUUGACGGGAAUCCGCACAAGCGGUGGAGCGUGUGGUUCAAUUCGAUAGUAAGCGAGGAACCUCACCAAGGCUUGACAUCCUCGGAACGCACUGGAAACAGAGCGGUGCCCGCAAGGGAGCCGAGUGACAGGUGCUGCAUGGUUGUCGUCAGCUCGCGUCGUGAGACGUUCGGUUAAGUCCGUUAACGAGCGCAACCCUUAUGCUGUGUCUACUACGUGUCACAGCAAACUGCCCCGGAUAACGGGGAGGAAGGCAGGGAUGACGUCAAAUCAGCAUGGCCCUUACGCCUUGGGCUACACACGCGCUACAAUGGCCGGUACAAAGGGACGCCAAAUCGCAAGAUGGAGCAAAUCCCCCAAAACCGGUCCCAGUUCGGAUUGGGGUCUGCAAUUCGACCCCAUGAAGCCGGAAUCGCUAGUAACCGC
rnacentral:rRNA from 1 species